UGCCAGCCGCCGCGGUAAUACGGAGGGGGUUAGCGUUGUUCGGAAUUACUGGGCGUAAAGCGCACGUAGGCGGAUUAGUAAGUUAGAGGUGAAAUCCCAGGGCUCAACCCUGGAACUGCCUUUAAUACUGCUAGUCUUGAGUUCGAGAGAGGUAAGUGGAAUUCCGAGUGUAGAGGUGAAAUUCGUAGAUAUUAGAAAGAACACCAAAUGCGAAGGCAACUUACUGGGUCACUACUGACACUGAGGUGCGAAAGCGUGGGGAGCAAACAGGAUUAGAUA
rnacentral:rRNA from 1 species